rnacentral:sRNA from 1 species
GAAUUGGAGGAGCCGCUGGUUGUGCUGGCUGCUGUGGCUGCUGGAGGAGCUGUGGUAGUGGUUGAAGCGGCUGUUGUGGCUGCAAUUGAGGCACCUGCAGUGGCUGUUGCUGCUGCUGCUGUGGCAGCUGCUGUUGUGGCUGCAACGGUGGCAUUGGCAGCAUUUUUGUCACAUGUUGUAUCAUGUUGCUGCCACUCUGGUUGCUAUUGCUGUUGCUACUGCUACUGUUGUUGCUGCUGUUGUUAUUGCUGCUGCUGUUGCUGCUGCUGGCCAACAAAUUUGUAGCACUUGCAAAGAUCAACGGCGGCGGACCACUCUUUAUAA